rnacentral:rRNA from 1 species
CCUACGGGUGGCAGCAGUGAGGAAUAUUGGUCAAUGGCCGGAAGCCUGAACCAGCCAAGUCGCGUGAGGGAGGAAUGCCCUGCGCGUUGUAAACCUCUUUUGCCAGGGAACAAAAGGCCGCACGCGUCCCGUCCUGUGGGUACCCUGUGAAAAAGCAUCGGCAAACGCCGUGCCAGCAGCCGCGGUAAUACGGAGGAUUCGAGCGUUAUCCGGAUUUAUUGGGUUUAAAGGGGGCGAAGGGGGGACUUUAAGCUGGUGGUGAAAUGGCGGGGCUCAACCCAGACGAGCCGUUUGACCUGGGGGCCUUGAGUGGGGGAGAGGUAUGCGGAAUGCGUGGUGUAGCGGUGAAAUGCAUAGAUAUCACGAAGAACUCCGAUUGCGAAGGCAGCGUACCGAGCCGCCACUGACGUUGAGGCACGAAAGCGUGGGGAUCGAACAGGAUUAGAUACCCGGGUAGUC